AGAGACUUGGAGACAGACGCUGCUCCAUCUUAAAAUGACAGAGAGGCUGACAUGAUGACAUGUUCAGAAGGGUAUGUUAACCUAUUAAUGAUAUUUGCAAGCAUGUAAUUUAAUCUUAUAAACUCUGCUAUAAUGGAUUUUAUAUUUAUAUAAUAAAUAUCCAAAAAGACAAAACUUUAUUGCUUCCAAGACAAUCCUUAUGUUAUAUUGUAUUCUCAAUUAUUUAUAUAUGUUAAAUAGAGGAUCUCUUACACUAUAUAAAAUUAUGGCUAAGAUAUCUGUAUGGUUAGCACUACUAAGUUCUAUGCUUUAAAACAUUAUAGUGGUAAAUAAGGGAACCACCUGCGGUUACAACGGAGACCACUACCCAUCCUUGUUCGAAGAUACCACAGCACAGGCCGUCCAAUCCCCAGGCACAACCCAGCCCGAUACAGCUACUCACAGACACUGGGACGAGAGGGGGGACCUCCAUAUACCCAUCACAACGCCUCGAAAGAAGCAUCCAGCCACCGCAAGCCCCACAAUGGACACAAAGCACAUUACCAGCUCACCACAAGACAGGGGAACGGGGCCGCUCCGCACCCGGACUUCAUCCCGGCUGAGAGAAGGAGGAGCGCCGAGAGGGGGGACCCCCACCGGCUACUGCACCGGGCACCGACGCUGCAACUGAUGGGGAUUGGUUAAUCCAGUCGGCACAGCGGCGAGUUACUCAUAAGGGACGCUGCACCACAUGCCCAACACAGUAUGCACACCAAACCUUGCCUGCACCAGAGCUAGUUAUCUUGCUAGCAAGCAACACAUCUUAAGCCUAAUUAGCAAUGCAUUACUUUCUAGCACUCAUCUCAUGUUAUUUUAUGCUAUAACGCUUUAACUAACCCUGUACCUCACCCGUUCCUGACAAGCGACUAUAACACAUAUAUUGAUGUAAUUGCUUAUAAUGAACCCAAUGUAACUAACUGCAGCCAUGCACCUAGACACAUGAGCAUAUCCUGUUUUUCACCUUAAUAUAAAACUGUGCAGCAUAAUCUAAAUGUAGAAACGUAACAGCACCCAAUGUUCAUAACAAUUUAUGCCUUGUUGAAUGAGCCACUUGUGAAUGCUGUUGUCACAGUAUACCGUUAUGAUGUUGAACCACUAAUUAUUUAAAAUGUGCAAAUUGUACUCGUGCCAUAUUCAUGUUAUACUAUGUUUUUACACAAAACGUGCUUGAGAAUGCUGUUGUGGCAAUUCAAGCAUUGCUGUACCUAUAUGCACA